GACCCGGGCUGCGGGGCUCCGGGGCGUCUGGCCUGGGUGGGACUGAGCCCAUCCAGGGACUGGGACUCUGGGAUUCUGGUGUAGGUGGAUCCGGGGCAGGCUCAGGACCAAGUCCCUCUCCUUCCACCAAGGAGCGCCCAGAGGCCGGCGGGAGCUCCAGGUUCACCUCCUCCUCCUCCAGGAAAUCCCACUUCCAGCUAGAUGUCUGCAUGAACUACUGAAAGCUGCUGAGUGUCUUGCAGCAGGUUUGACAGAAUUCAUGUUGCUGCCAUAGAGGGGCUCUUUUCAAACUGAUGUCUUAAAUCUUGUUCACGCCAUUUUCAAUCCAGAGGAAGACCUUCUAAAAGAGGUGAUGGAUGGGAGAGUGCUGACAUACUAUGUGAAGCUACUAUUUGGAGUUGGACACGAGUGCAUGUGACCUUGUGCCACAGCGGGAAUCUUGACUACCACACAAAUGAAUCCAUUCAAAUGUUGGCAAGUGGAGCAGAGUCCCAGGACAGUCUGCAAUCUCUACAGGUACAGAAACACCCCCAGUUCAAGAAUCUU
rnacentral:lncRNA from 1 species